rnacentral:rRNA from 1 species
UACGAAGGGAGCUAGCGUUGUUCGGAAUCACUGGGCGUAAAGGGCGCGUAGGCGGCUGUUCAAGUCGGGGGUGAAAUCCCGUGGCUCAACCACGGAAUGGCCUUCGAUACUGGACGGCUGGAGACCGGAAGAGGUGAGUGGAACUGCGAGUGUAGAGGUGAAAUUCGUAGAUAUUCGCAAGAACACCAGUGGCGAAGGCGGCUCACUGGUCCGGUUCUGACGCUGAGGCGCGAAAGCGUGGGGAGCAAACAGG